rnacentral:rRNA from 1 species
AUACGUAGGGUGCAAGCGUUAAUCGGAAUUACUGGGCGUAAAGCGUGCGCAGGCGGUUUUGUAAGACAGAGGUGAAAUCCCCGGGCUCAACCUGGGAACUGCCUUUGUGACUGCAAGGCUAGAGUACGGCAGAGGGGGGUGGAAUUUCGCGUGUAGCGGUGAAAUGCGUAGAUAUGCGGAGGAACACCGAUGGCGAAGGCAAUCCCCUGGGCCUGUACUGACGCUCAUGCACGAAAGCGUGGGGAGCAAACAGGAUUAGAUACCCUGGUAGUCCACGCCCUAAACGAUGUCAACUGGUUGUUGGGGAUUUAUUUUCUCAGUAACGAAGCUAACGCGUGAAGUUGACCGCCUGGGGAGUACGGCCGCAAGGUUAAAACUCAAAUGAAUUGGCGGGG